ACGCGAAGAACCUUACCAAGGCUUGACAUACACCGGAAACGGCCAGAGAUGGUUGCCCCCUUGUGGUCGGUGUACAGGUGGUGCAUGGUUGUCGUCAGCUCGUGUCGUGAGAUGUUGGGUUAAGUCCCGCAACGAGCGCAACCCUCGUUCUAUGUUGCCAGCGCGUUAUGGCGGGGACUCAUAGGAGACUGCCGGGGUCAACUCGGAGGAAGGUGGGGAUGACGUCAAAUCAUCAUGCCCCUUAUGUCUUGGGCUUCACGCAUGCUACAAUGGCCGGUACAAAGGGCUGCGAUACCGUAAGGUGGAGCGAAUCCCAAAAAGCCGGUCUCAGUUCGGAUUGAGGUCUGCAACUCGACCUCAUGAAGUCGGAGUCGCUAGUAAUCGCAGAUCAGCAACGCUGCGGUGAAUACGUUCCCGGGCCUUGUACACACCG
rnacentral:rRNA from 1 species